GACGAACGCUGGCGGCGUGCUUAACACAUGCAAGUCGAACGGAAAGGCCCCUUUGGGGGUACUCGAGUGGCGCACGGGGGAGUAACACGUGAGUAACCUGCCCUUGACUUCGGGAUAACUUCAGGAAACUGGGGCCAAUACCGGAUAGGAAUCCUUGCUGCAUGGUGGGGGUUGGAAAGCUUCGGCGGUUUUGGAUGGACUCGCGGCGUAUCAGCUUGUUGGUGGGGUAGUGGCUUACCAAGGCUUUGACGGGUAGCUGGCCUGAGAGGGCGACCGGCCACCUUGGGACUGAGAGACGGCCCAGACGCCUACGGGAGGCAGAAGUGGGGAAUAUUGCACAAGGGGCGGAAGCCGGAUGCAGCAACGCCGCGUGCGGGAUGACGGCCUUCGGGUUGUAAACCGCUUUCAGCAGGGGCGAAGCUUGUGGUGACGGUACCUGCAGAAGAAGCACCGGCUAACUACGUG
rnacentral:rRNA from 1 species